rnacentral:rRNA from 1 species
AUUGAACGCUGGCGGCAUGCCUUACACAUGCAAGUCGAACGGCAGCACGGGGCAACCUGGUGGCGAGUGGCGAACGGGUGAGUAAUGCAUCGGAACGUACCUUUCAGUGGGGGAUAACGUAGCGAAAGUUACGCUAAUACCGCAUAUUCUGUGAGCAGGAAAGCAGGGGAUCGCAAGACCUUGCGCUGAUUGAGCGGCCGAUGUCAGAUUGGCUAGUUGGUGAGGUAAAGGCUCACCAAGGCGCCGAUCUGUAGCGGGUCUGAGAGGAUGAUCCGCCACACUGGAACUGAGACACGGUCCAGACUCCUACGGGAGGCAGCAGUGGGGAAUUUUGGACAAUGGGGGCAACCCUGAUCCAGCCAUGCCGCGUGAGUGAAGAAGGCCUUCGGGUUGUAAAGCUCUUUCGGCCGGGAAGAAAUCGCACGGGCUAAUACCCUGUGUGGAUGACGGUACCGGAAUAAGAAGCACCGGCUAACUACGUGCCAGCAGCCGCCGUAAUAC